AUUGAACGCUGGCGGCAGGCCUAACACAUGCAAGUCGAACGAGUGGCGGACGGGUGAGUAAUGUAUGGGAAAAUGCCAGAUGGAGGGGGAUAAGUACUGGAAACGGUAGCUAAUACAGCAUAACGUAGGAUGUGGCCAGAUGGGAUGAGCUAGUAGGUGGGGUAACGGCUCACCUAGGCGACGAUCCCUAGCUGGUUUGAGAGGAUGACCAGCCACACUGGAACUGAGACACGGUCCAGACUCCUACGGGAGGCAGCAGUGGGGAAUAUUGCACAAUGGGCGCAAUCCUGAUGCAGCCAUGCCGCGUGUAUGAAGAAGGCCUUCGGGUUGUAAAGUACUUUCAGCGAGGAGGCGUUACUCGCAGAAGAAGCACCGGCUAACUCCGUGCCAGCAGCCGCGGUAAUAC
rnacentral:rRNA from 1 species